rnacentral:rRNA from 1 species
GACGAACGCUAGCGGGAGGCUUAAUACAUGCAAGUCGAACGGUAAGGUCUCUUCGGAGAUACACGAGUGGCGCACGGGUGAGUAACGCGUAUGUAAUUUACCUCUUAGUGGGGGAUAGCCCAGAGAAAUUUGGAUUAAUACCCCAUAUUAUUACGAAUAAGCAUUUAUUUGUAAUGAAAGCUCCGGCGCUAAGAGAUAGGCAUGCGUUCCAUUAGCUAGUUGGUGAGGUCAAGGCUCACCAAGGCUACGAUGGAUAGCUGGUCUGAGAGGAUGAUCAGCCACACGGGCACUGAGACACGGGCCCGACUCCUACGGGAGGCAGCAGUAGGGAAUAUUGGUCAAUGGAGGCAACUCUGAACCAGCCAUCCCGCGUGAAGGAAGACGGUCCUCUGGAUUGUAAACUUCUUUUAUUAAGGACUAACCAUGAGCUAUACGCUCAUCUGCAGGUACUUAAUGAAUAAGCACCGGCUAACUACG